rnacentral:piRNA from 1 species
UGGCCUCCCACUAACUGAUGACUUCUGUCU